UACGAAGGGGGCUAGCGUUGCUCGGAAUCACUGGGCGUAAAGCGCACGUAGGCGGCUUGUUAAGUCCGGGGUGAAAUCCUGGAGCUCAACUCCAGAACUGCCUUUGAUACUGGCGAGCUCGAGUCCGGGAGAGGUGAGUGGAACUGCGAGUGUAGAGGUGAAAUUCGUAGAUAUUCGCAAGAACACCAGUGGCGAAGGCGGCUCACUGGCCCGGUACUGACGCUGAGGUGCGAAAGCGUGGGGAGCAAACAGG
rnacentral:rRNA from 1 species